GACGAACGCUGGCGGCGUGCUUAACACAUGCAAGUCGAACGGAAAGGCCCUGCUUUUGUGGGUUGCUCGAGUGGCGAACGGGUGAUUAACACGUGAUUAACCUGCCCUUGACUUUGGGAUAACUUCAGGAAACUGGGGCUAAUACCGGAUAGGAGCUCCUGCUGCAUGGUGGGGGUUGGAAAGUUUCGGCGGUUGGGGAUGGACUCGCGGCUUAUCAGCUUGUUGGUGGGGUAGUGGCUUACCAAGGCUUUGACGGGUAGCCGGCCUGAGAGGGUGACCGGCCACAUUGGGACUGAGAUACGGCCCAGACUCCUACGGGAGGCAGCAGUGGGGAAUAUUGCACAAUGGGCGGAAGCCUGAUGCAGCAACGCCGCGUGCGGGAUGACGGCCUUCGGGUUGUAAACCGCUUUCGCCUGUGACGAAGCGUGAGUGACGGUAAUGGGUAAAGAAGCACCGGCUAACUACGUG
rnacentral:rRNA from 1 species